rnacentral:lncRNA from 1 species
GACCAUUUCUUUGAUGAACAGCCUGGGAGCUCUGGCCGAUUUCUGGGAUCGGAAGGAUUCCGACUCGCCGGAAACGAACUCAUCUUCGGAUUCCAUGUCUAACACUGAAACUCAGCUCAGGAUCCCGUGUAAGCUCCACUUCAGUUCAACGGGCAACAAAUGUCUGAAAUGAACAACCUAGAAGCCGGCUCUCGGUCUUGUGGAUCCAAUUUCUCUUCCAC